rnacentral:rRNA from 1 species
GCAUAUCAAAUAAGCGGAGGAAAAGAAACCAACAGGCGGCGAGUGAGCGGCAAAAGCUCAAAUUUGAAAUCUGGCUCUUUCAGAGUCCGAGUUGUAAUUUGAAGAAGGUAUCUUUGGGUCUGGCUCUUGUCUAUGUUUCUUGGAACAGAACGUCACAGAGGGUGAGAAUCCCGUGCGAUGAGAUGAUCCAGGCCUAUGUAAAGUUCCUUCGAAGAGUCGAGUUGUUUGGGAAUGCAGCUCUAAGUGGGUGGUAAAUUCCAUCUAAAGCUAAAUAUUGGCGAGAGACCGAUAGCGAACAAGUACAGUGAUGGAAAGAUGAAAAGAACUUUGAAAAGAGAGUGAAAAAGUACGUGAAAUUGUUGAAAGGGAAGGGCUUGAGAUCAGACUUGGUAUUUUGUAUGUUACUUCUUCGGGGGUGGCCUCUACAGUUUAUCGGGCCAGCAUCAGUUUGGGCGGUAGGAGAAUUGCGUUGGAAUGUGGCACGGCUUCGGUUGUGUGUUAUAGCCUUCGUCGAUACUGCCAGCCUAGACUGAGGACUGCGGUUUAGUCGCCCGUCUUGAAACACGGACC